rnacentral:rRNA from 1 species
GACAUAGGUGGCGAACGUUAUCCGGAAUUAUUGGGCGUAAAGAGCUCGUAGGCGGUUUGUUGCGUCGGCUGUGAAAUCCCGAGGCUCAACCUCGGGUCUGCAGUCGAUACGAGCAAACUAGAGUGUUGCAGGGGAGACUGGAAUUCCUGGUGUAGCGGUGAAAUGCGCAGAUAUCAGGAGGAACACCGGUGGCGAAGGCGGGUCUCUGGGCAACAACUGACGCUGAGGAGCGAAAGCGUGGGGAGCGAACAGG